rnacentral:lncRNA from 1 species
AAAAAAACUUGCGUCUUUUGAAUCUUCUAGUCCUUUCAACCCAAAACCGAAUCUGGGUCCAUGGCUACUUCCCAUUAAUCAACCGCAACAGAAAAAAAAAUACGGUGUUGAGAAGUAGAGAAGGACUCAGGUUCCAUUUUGGGUCGGAAGAACUAGAAAACUCAAAAGAUCGCCACUCUUCUUGUGAGGAAACCAGCAAAGGGAGAAUGUUGCACUAUGUUACCCAAAGAGAGGAUCAAAACUGUACUAAAACACAACACAAAGAAAGCAAAUUUUAAUAAGUUGAACGACAAGAUAAUCGAUAAAAAACUAAAGAAAGUUUAAACGGUAAGCAUAAAAAAAAACCACGCACCUGGGAUGCAAGAGAGAAAAAGGAGAGGACGAAGACAAUGACGUUAUGAGAAACUACAAUGCAAUGCCGCAAGAGAUAAAAGGUAGAGGUGUGCAAGUGAGUAAAAGAAGAGGAGAAGUAGAGAAAAAGGAGAAGAGAUGAAGACGCGAUCAGAAACUGAAUGUCGAGAAGAGUUCGCGGUCUAUUUAAAAUGAAAUGGGGCGUCGGUUGCUCCAGAAACCGACGUCUAGGAAGCUGAAAAGAUUGACGUUUUGGUUUCUUGUCAGGGUAGUUCACGUCGGUGCCUCUCACAGCCGACGUCUAAAACUCUCAAAUUUGGUGAAAAUACAGAAAAUUAGACGUCGGUGCCACUCAGAACUGACGUCUACAUUGAAGAAUUUUUGUC